CCUUCUGCGACGGGCUGGACGGUUCACUGACGUGUGGGGCCGGCGUGGGCUUUCGGCUUUCAGCGCGAUGGGCCGGCAGGCCUUUGUCCGGCACUGGUGAUUUUCUAAGUUGGAUCUCACGUGCCACAUGGAGCUCCUGUGGCUGUCCUUUUGGACCCAUAUGACAUGCAUGAUCUGGACUUUGAUAUUAUGAUCCCCAGAUUUAGACGUGAGCUGAGCUUCCCCUAAUGAGGUUAUCCCUUUACUUGUAAACGAUACUAUUUUACUUAUGAAUGAAUACAGGAGAAGAAGUUUAUCAAAAAAAAACCUAAAAUCUAAAAAGUGCACGCGCGCUAUCUGGGCGAACUGAGCGGCCGCGCGGUGACCGCUCGGUACAUGUGUAUCGUACGUCCCGCAGUGCCAGGCGUUAUCUGGUCGGGAGAGUUUUGCGGAUCGCUCACCCGGGGUAGACACGUCGUGUUCCUUAUCCACUCAACCACCCUCCCACUGCCGCCUUGCCUCCUCCUGCGACGCCGGCCGCCACGCCGUUCCUCUUUCGGGCAACGCCCCUCCGCCGCGCUCCUCCUCCCGGCAACGCAGCCGCCGCUCCGCUCCUGCUGCCGGCUACGCGCCCGCUGCCGCGCCCCUCCGGCCGCCUUCCGAUGACGUACGCCGGUCCCGUCCUCCUGGCGACGCGAGCCGCGCCCGGCGGGCCUGCUCCCCUGCUUCCGUAUGCCCCGUAUGUUGCUGGCCGCCUCCUCCUCUUUUGCUUGCACAAGCGCCGUUGUGCCAUCCAUCUGCAGGUCACAGCCUCCUUCAGCAACAGGCCGAUGCUGCCGUGACCAUCCAUGGCGGCGAGUAAACCCGGCCGCGGCGGUCUCAGCCAAGUGCCCGUCCGCCGCACCCAGCGUCCCGAAGUAGCCGCCCUUCCGCUGUUCCACACCACGCGCGAUGGCCGCAUCAAUUCGAUUUGAUGUGCAUGCAUUCCGGUACCUGAUUUGACAGCCUCUCUGUCGAUUUUUGGUGCUUCUCUGUCAGCACGGCAUAGUGUUGCCUGCAUUUUUUUACGAUGCAUCAGCGUGUGUGGUCGCGUUGUACCCCUAGGCAACACUGGAUGCACGCAGGGAGCUUAGAUUAGGGGGCUGGGAGUUCUUGUGCAGUUCGCCGCAGGGGAUGAGGUUGCGCUUUUUGUGGUUUGUGCGGUUGCACGAGAUCUUGUACUUAGUUGGCUUCUGGAGCUGGCGAUGAAGCAUGGAGGAGCAAAGGAGCACGGAACACCGGCGUUGACGCACUGCUCCGUCAUCUCGCCGGGGCCGUCGUAUUCCCUAUUGCCUCCCUAACUCACCGUUCGCGAGCACCCCGCGGCCUCCGGCGUGCUUAAGCCGUCAUCGGAGCCUGCAAGCUGUGGCAACCUCCCAACGCAUGGAUGCAUCGACCUUGAGUAGUGGCCGUCGCUACCAUCCCGUUCAUGGCAGACACUUUUUCCUCUCUUGUGUGUGUUUCUUUCUCUCGUGUGUGUGGAUUGUUACGUUUACUAGUUGGCUCAUGUCAGGUGGAUGGAUCUGUGUGUGGAUUGUUACGUUUACUAGUUGCCAAUAGUUCUUCUGUCAACUAAACAUCAAUAUGUGUGCAACUAUACUAUAUUGCCGCGCCAA